UGGGAGACCGCCUGGGAAUACCAGGUGCUGUAAGCUUUUCUUUCUUUUCUUGCAUCUUUUGCCGUGUUCUCUCUCCAAGAGGCUAGGAUAUCGGUCUUUGGGGAGCCUGGUCUUUUGCUUGGACAAAUGCAAGUGCACUUGGAGAUUAGCCUGAAGAUAAAAUGAAAGAAAAAGUCAAAAAGCACAAAGAGCGGGAGGACUGAGAUCUUGUCCUAAAGUGGAGCAAAGGAGUGGAGCAUGAUGGACUGCAGAGAUAGGCUGUAAAACUAAGCUUGACUGCGUAUCCGGGUGUUUUCUUGAGCGACGCAUUGUUCACUGAAAGUGAAAUGCUGAUUCUAAUUGAGAGAAGCACACAGGAGCAUGUUCAAAUAGCUCAUUUGGAGCCUGUGUCAUCGCUUACGGCCAUACCACCCUGAACACGCCCGAUCUCGUCCGAUCUCGGAAGCUAAGCAGGGUCGGGCCUGGUUAGUACUUGGAUGGGAGACCGCCUGGGAAUACCAGGUGCUGUAAGCUUUUCUCUUCUUUUCUUGCAUCUUUUGCCGUGUUCUCUCUCCAAGAGGCUAGGAUAUGGGUCUUUGGGGAGCCUGGUCUUUUGCUUGGACCAAUGCAAAUGCACUUGGAGAUUAGGCUGAAGAUAAAAUGAAAGAAAAAGUCAAAAAGCACAAAGAGCGGGAGGACUGAGAUCUUGUCCUGAAGCGGAGCAAAGGAGUGGAGCAUGAUGGACUGCAGAGAUAGGCUGUAAAACUAAGCUUGACUGCGUAUCCGGGUGUUUUCUUGAGCGCCGCAUUGUUCACUGAAAGUGAAAUGCUGAUUCUAAUUGAGAGAAGCACACAGGAGCAUGUUCAAAUAGCUCAUUUGGAGCCUGUGUCAUCGCUUACGGCCAUACCACCCUGAACACGCCCGAUCUCGUCCGAUCUCGGAAGCUAAGCAGGGUCGGGCCUGGUUAGUACUUGGAUGGGAGACCGCCUGGGAAUACCAGGUGCUGUAAGCUUUUCUUUUUUCUUGCAUCUUUUGCCGUGUUCUCUCUCCAAGAGGCUAGGAUAUCGGUCUUUGGGGAGCCUGGUCUUUAGCUUGGACAAAUGCAAGUGCACUUGGAGAUUAGGCUGAACAUAAAAUGAAAGAAAAGUCAAAAAGCACAAAGAGCGGGAGGACUGAGAUCUUGUCCUAAAGUGGAGCAAAGGAGUGGAGCAUGAUGGACUGCAGAGAUAGGCUGUAAAACUAAGCUUGACUGCGUAUCCGGGUGUUUUCUUGAGCGCCGCAUUGUUCACUGAAAGUGAAAUGCUGAUUCUAAUUGAGAGAAGCACACAGGAGCAUGUUCAAAUAGCUCAUUUGGAGCCUGUGUCAUCGCUUACGGCCAUACCACCCUGAACACGCCCGAUCUCGUCCGAUCUCGGAAGCUAAGCAGGGUCGGGCCUGGUUAGUACUUGGAUGGGAGACCGCCUGGGAAUACCAGGUGCUGUAAGCUUUUCUCUUCUUUUCUUGCAUCUUUUUGCCGUGUUCUCUCUCCAAGAGGCUAGGAUAUCGGUCUUUGGGGAGCCUGGUCUUUUGCUUGGACAAAUGCAAGUGCACUUGGAGAUUAGGCUGAACAUAAAAUGAAAGAAAAAGUCAAAAAGCACAAAGAGCGGGAGGACUGAGAUCUUGUCCUAAAGUGGAGCAAAGGAGUGGAGCAUGAUGGACUGCAGAGAUAGGCUGUAAAACUAAGCUUGACUGCGUAUCCGGGUGUUUUCUUGAGCGCCGCAUUGUUCACUGAAAGUGAAAUGCUGAUUCUAAUUGAGAGAAGCACACAGGAGCAUGUUCAAAUAGCUCAUUUGGAGCCUGUGUCAUCGCUUACGGCCAUACCACCCUGAACACGCCCGAUCUCGUCCGAUCUCGGAAGCUAAGCAGGGUCGGGCCUGGUUAGUACUUGGAUGGGAGACCGCCUGGGAAUACCAGGUGCUGUAAGCUUUUCUCUUCUUUUCUUGCAUCUUUUUGCCGUGUUCUCUCUCCAAGAGGCUAGGAUAUCGGUCUUUGGGGAGCCUGGUCUUUUGCUUGGACAAAUGCAAGUGCACUUGGAGAUUAGGCUGAACAUAAAAUGAAAGAAAAAGUCAAAAAGCACAAAGAGCGGGAGGACUGAGAUCUUGUCCUAAAGUGGAGCAAAGGAGUGGAGCAUGAUGGACUGCAGAGAUAGGCUGUAAAACUAAGCUUGACUGCGUAUCCGGGUGUUUUCUUGAGCGCCGCAUUGUUCACUGAAAGUGAAAUGCUGAUUCUAAUUGAGAGAAGCACACAGGAGCAUGUUCAAAUAGCUCAUUUGGAGCCUGUGUCAUCGCUUACGGCCAUACCACCCUGAACACGCCCGAUCUCGUCCGAUCUCGGAAGCUAAGCAGGGUCGGGCCUGGUUAGUACUUGGAUGGGAGACCGCCUGGGAAUACCAGGUGCUGUAAGCUUUUCUCUUCUUUUCUUGCAUCUUUUUGCCGUGUUCUCUCUCCAAGAGGCUAGGAUAUCGGUCUUUGGGGAGCCUGGUCUUUUGCUUGGACAAAUGCAAGUGCACUUGGAGAUUAGGCUGAACAUAAAAUGAAAGAAAAAGUCAAAAAGCACAAAGAGCGGGAGGACUGAGAUCUUGUCCUAAAGUGGAGCAAAGGAGUGGAGCAUGAUGGACUGCAGAGAUAGGCUGUAAAACUAAGCUUGACUGCGUAUCCGGGUGUUUUCUUGAGCGCCGCAUUGUUCACUGAAAGUGAAAUGCUGAUUCUAAUUGAGAGAAGCACACAGGAGCAUGUUCAAAUAGCUCAUUUGGAGCCUGUGUCAUCGCUUACGGCCAUACCACCCUGAACACGCCCGAUCUCGUCCGAUCUCGGAAGCUAAGCAGGGUCGGGCCUGGUUAGUACUUGGAUGGGAGACCGCCUGGGAAUACCAGGUGCUGUAAGCUUUUCUUCUUUUCUUGCAUCUUUUUGCCGUGUUCUCUCUCCAAGAGGCUAGGAUAUCGGUCUUUGGGGAGCCUGGUCUUUUGCUUGGACAAAUGCAAGUGCACUUGGAGAUUAGGCUGAACAUAAAAUGAAAGAAAAAGUCAAAAAGCACAAAGAGCGGGAGGACUGAGAUCUUGUCCUAAAGUGGAGCAAAGGAGUGGAGCAUGAUGGACUGCAGAGAUAGGCUGUAAAACUAAGCUUGACUGCGUAUCCGGGUGUUUUCUUGAGCGCCGCAUUGUUCACUGAAAGUGAAAUGCUGAUUCUAAUUGAGAGAAGCACACAGGAGCAUGUUCAAAUAGCUCAUUUGGAGCCUGUGUCAUCGCUUACGGCCAUACCACCCUGAACACGCCCGAUCUCGUCCGAUCUCGGAAGCUAAGCAGGGUCGGGCCUGGUUAGUACUUGGAUGGGAGACCGCCUGGGAAUACCAGGUGCUGUAAGCUUUUCUCUUUUUUCUUGCAUCUUUUUGCCGUGUUCUCUCUCCAAGAGGCUAGGAUAUCGGUCUUUGGGGAGCCUGGUCUUUUGCUUGGACAAAUGCAAGUGCACUUGGAGAUUAGGCUGAACAUAAAAUGAAAGAAAAAGUCAAAAAGCACAAAGAGCGGGAGGACUGAGAUCUUGUCCUAAAGUGGAGCAAAGGAGUGGAGCAUGAUGGACUGCAGAGAUAGGCUGUAAAACUAAGCUUGACUGCGUAUCCGGGUGUUUUCUUGAGCGCCGCAUUGUUCACUGAAAGUGAAAUGCUGAUUCUAAUUGAGAGAAGCACACAGGAGCAUGUUCAAAUAGCUCAUUUGGAGCCUGUGUCAUCGCUUACGGCCAUACCACCCUGAACACGCCCGAUCUCGUCCGAUCUCGGAAGCUAAGCAGGGUCGGGCCUGGUUAGUACUUGGAUGGGAGACCGCCUGGGAAUACCAGGUGCUGUAAGCUUUUCUCUUUUUUCUUGCAUCUUUUUGCCGUGUUCUCUCUCCAAGAGGCUAGGAUAUCGGUCUUUGGGGAGCCUGGUCUUUUGCUUGGACAAAUGCAAGUGCACUUGGAGAUUAGGCUGAACAUAAAAUGAAAGAAAAAGUCAAAAAGCACAAAGAGCGGGAGGACUGAGAUCUUGUCCUAAAGUGGAGCAAAGGAGUGGAGCAUGAUGGACUGCAGAGAUAGGCUGUAAAACUAAGCUUGACUGCGUAUCCGGGUGUUUUCUUGAGCGCCGCAUUGUUCACUGAAAGUGAAAUGCUGAUUCUAAUUGAGAGAAGCACACAGGAGCAUGUUCAAAUAGCUCAUUUGGAGCCUGUGUCAUCGCUUACGGCCAUACCACCCUGAACACGCCCGAUCUCGUCCGAUCUCGGAAGCUAAGCAGGGUCGGGCCUGGUUAGUACUUGGAUGGGAGACCGCCUGGGAAUACCAGGUGCUGUAAGCUUUUCUCUUCUUUUCUUGCAUCUUUUUGCCGUGUUCUCUCUCCAAGAGGCUAGGAUAUCGGUCUUUGGGGAGCCUGGUCUUUUGCUUGGACAAAUGCAAGUGCACUUGGAGAUUAGGCUGAACAUAAAAUGAAAGAAAAAGUCAAAAAGCACAAAGAGCGGGAGGACUGAGAUCUUGUCCUAAAGUGGAGCAAAGGAGUGGAGCAUGAUGGACUGCAGAGAUAGGCUGUAAAACUAAGCUUGACUGCGUAUCCGGGUGUUUUCUUGAGCGCCGCAUUGUUCACUGAAAGUGAAAUGCUGAUUCUAAUUGAGAGAAGCACACAGGAGCAUGUUCAAAUAGCUCAUUUGGAGCCUGUGUCAUCGCUUACGGCCAUACCACCCUGAACACGCCCGAUCUCGUCCGAUCUCGGAAGCUAAGCAGGGUCGGGCCUGGUUAGUACUUGGAUGGGAGACCGCCUGGGAAUACCAGGUGCUGUAAGCUUUUCUCUUCUUUUCUUGCAUCUUUUUGCCGUGUUCUCUCUCCAAGAGGCUAGGAUAUCGGUCUUUGGGGAGCCUGGUCUUUUGCUUGGACAAAUGCAAGUGCACUUGGAGAUUAGGCUGAACAUAAAAUGAAAGAAAAAGUCAAAAAGCACAAAGAGCGGGAGGACUGAGAUCUUGUCCUAAAGUGGAGCAAAGGAGUGGAGCAUGAUGGACUGCAGAGAUAGGCUGUAAAACUAAGCUUGACUGCGUAUCCGGGUGUUUUCUUGAGCGCCGCAUUGUUCACUGAAAGUGAAAUGCUGAUUCUAAUUGAGAGAAGCACACAGGAGCAUGUUCAAAUAGCUCAUUUGGAGCCUGUGUCAUCGCUUACGGCCAUACCACCCUGAACACGCCCGAUCUCGUCCGAUCUCGGAAGCUAAGCAGGGUCGGGCCUGGUUAGUACUUGGAUGGGAGACCGCCUGGGAAUACCAGGUGCUGUAAGCUUUUCUCUUCUUUUCUUGCAUCUUUUUGCCGUGUUCUCUCUCCAAGAGGCUAGGAUAUCGGUCUUUGGGGAGCCUGGUCUUUUGCUUGGACAAAUGCAAGUGCACUUGGAGAUUAGGCUGAACAUAAAAUGAAAGAAAAAGUCAAAAAGCACAAAGAGCGGGAGGACUGAGAUCUUGUCCUAAAGUGGAGCAAAGGAGUGGAGCAUGAUGGACUGCAGAGAUAGGCUGUAAAACUAAGCUUGACUGCGUAUCCGGGUGUUUUCUUGAGCGCCGCAUUGUUCACUGAAAGUGAAAUGCUGAUUCUAAUUGAGAGAAGCACACAGGAGCAUGUUCAAAUAGCUCAUUUGGAGCCUGUGUCAUCGCUUACGGCCAUACCACCCUGAACACGCCCGAUCUCGUCCGAUCUCGGAAGCUAAGCAGGGUCGGGCCUGGUUAGUACUUGGAUGGGAGACCGCCUGGGAAUACCAGGUGCUGUAAGCUUUUCUCUUCUUUUCUUGCAUCUUUUUGCCGUGUUCUCUCUCCAAGAGGCUAGGAUAUCGGUCUUUGGGGAGCCUGGUCUUUUGCUUGGACAAAUGCAAGUGCACUUGGAGAUUAGGCUGAACAUAAAAUGAAAGAAAAAGUCAAAAAGCACAAAGAGCGGGAGGACUGAGAUCUUGUCCUAAAGUGGAGCAAAGGAGUGGAGCAUGAUGGACUGCAGAGAUAGGCUGUAAAACUAAGCUUGACUGCGUAUCCGGGUGUUUUCUUGAGCGCCGCAUUGUUCACUGAAAGUGAAAUGCUGAUUCUAAUUGAGAGAAGCACACAGGAGCAUGUUCAAAUAGCUCAUUUGGAGCCUGUGUCAUCGCUUACGGCCAUACCACCCUGAACACGCCCGAUCUCGUCCGAUCUCGGAAGCUAAGCAGGGUCGGGCCUGGUUAGUACUUGGAUGGGAGACCGCCUGGGAAUACCAGGUGCUGUAAGCUUUUCUCUUCUUUUCUUGCAUCUUUUUGCCGUGUUCUCUCUCCAAGAGGCUAGGAUAUCGGUCUUUGGGGAGCCUGGUCUUUUGCUUGGACAAAUGCAAGUGCACUUGGAGAUUAGGCUGAACAUAAAAUGAAAGAAAAAGUCAAAAAGCACAAAGAGCGGGAGGACUGAGAUCUUGUCCUAAAGUGGAGCAAAGGAGUGGAGCAUGAUGGACUGCAGAGAUAGGCUGUAAAACUAAGCUUGACUGCGUAUCCGGGUGUUUUCUUGAGCGCCGCAUUGUUCACUGAAAGUGAAAUGCUGAUUCUAAUUGAGAGAAGCACACAGGAGCAUGUUCAAAUAGCUCAUUUGGAGCCUGUGUCAUCGCUUACGGCCAUACCACCCUGAACACGCCCGAUCUCGUCCGAUCUCGGAAGCUAAGCAGGGUCGGGCCUGGUUAGUACUUGGAUGGGAGACCGCCUGGGAAUACCAGGUGCUGUAAGCUUUUCUCUUCUUUUCUUGCAUCUUUUUGCCGUGUUCUCUCUCCAAGAGGCUAGGAUAUCGGUCUUUGGGGAGCCUGGUCUUUUGCUUGGACAAAUGCAAGUGCACUUGGAGAUUAGGCUGAACAUAAAAUGAAAGAAAAAGUCAAAAAGCACAAAGAGCGGGAGGACUGAGAUCUUGUCCUAAAGUGGAGCAAAGGAGUGGAGCAUGAUGGACUGCAGAGAUAGGCUGUAAAACUAAGCUUGACUGCGUAUCCGGGUGUUUUCUUGAGCGCCGCAUUGUUCACUGAAAGUGAAAUGCUGAUUCUAAUUGAGAGAAGCACACAGGAGCAUGUUCAAAUAGCUCAUUUGGAGCCUGUGUCAUCGCUUACGGCCAUACCACCCUGAACACGCCCGAUCUCGUCCGAUCUCGGAAGCUAAGCAGGGUCGGGCCUGGUUAGUACUUGGAUGGGAGACCGCCUGGGAAUACCAGGUGCUGUAAGCUUUUCUCUUCUUUUCUUGCAUCUUUUUGCCGUGUUCUCUCUCCAAGAGGCUAGGAUAUCGGUCUUUGGGGAGCCUGGUCUUUUGCUUGGACAAAUGCAAGUGCACUUGGAGAUUAGGCUGAACAUAAAAUGAAAGAAAAAGUCAAAAAGCACAAAGAGCGGGAGGACUGAGAUCUUGUCCUAAAGUGGAGCAAAGGAGUGGAGCAUGAUGGACUGCAGAGAUAGGCUGUAAAACUAAGCUUGACUGCGUAUCCGGGUGUUUUCUUGAGCGCCGCAUUGUUCACUGAAAGUGAAAUGCUGAUUCUAAUUGAGAGAAGCACACAGGAGCAUGUUCAAAUAGCUCAUUUGGAGCCUGUGUCAUCGCUUACGGCCAUACCACCCUGAACACGCCCGAUCUCGUCCGAUCUCGGAAGCUAAGCAGGGUCGGGCCUGGUUAGUACUUGGAUGGGAGACCGCCUGGGAAUACCAGGUGCUGUAAGCUUUUCUCUUCUUUUCUUGCAUCUUUUUGCCGUGUUCUCUCUCCAAGAGGCUAGGAUAUCGGUCUUUGGGGAGCCUGGUCUUUUGCUUGGACAAAUGCAAGUGCACUUGGAGAUUAGGCUGAACAUAAAAUGAAAGAAAAAGUCAAAAAGCACAAAGAGCGGGAGGACUGAGAUCUUGUCCUAAAGUGGAGCAAAGGAGUGGAGCAUGAUGGACUGCAGAGAUAGGCUGUAAAACUAAGCUUGACUGCGUAUCCGGGUGUUUUCUUGAGCGCCGCAUUGUUCACUGAAAGUGAAAUGCUGAUUCUAAUUGAGAGAAGCACACAGGAGCAUGUUCAAAUAGCUCAUUUGGAGCCUGUGUCAUCGCUUACGGCCAUACCACCCUGAACACGCCCGAUCUCGUCCGAUCUCGGAAGCUAAGCAGGGUCGGGCCUGGUUAGUACUUGGAUGGGAGACCGCCUGGGAAUACCAGGUGCUGUAAGCUUUUCUCUUCUUUUCUUGCAUCUUUUUGCCGUGUUCUCUCUCCAAGAGGCUAGGAUAUCGGUCUUUGGGGAGCCUGGUCUUUUGCUUGGACAAAUGCAAGUGCACUUGGAGAUUAGGCUGAACAUAAAAUGAAAGAAAAAGUCAAAAAGCACAAAGAGCGGGAGGACUGAGAUCUUGUCCUAAAGUGGAGCAAAGGAGUGGAGCAUGAUGGACUGCAGAGAUAGGCUGUAAAACUAAGCUUGACUGCGUAUCCGGGUGUUUUCUUGAGCGCCGCAUUGUUCACUGAAAGUGAAAUGCUGAUUCUAAUUGAGAGAAGCACACAGGAGCAUGUUCAAAUAGCUCAUUUGGAGCCUGUGUCAUCGCUUACGGCCAUACCACCCUGAACACGCCCGAUCUCGUCCGAUCUCGGAAGCUAAGCAGGGUCGGGCCUGGUUAGUACUUGGAUGGGAGACCGCCUGGGAAUACCAGGUGCUGUAAGCUUUUCUCUUCUUUUCUUGCAUCUUUUUGCCGUGUUCUCUCUCCAAGAGGCUAGGAUAUCGGUCUUUGGGGAGCCUGGUCUUUUGCUUGGACAAAUGCAAGUGCACUUGGAGAUUAGGCUGAACAUAAAAUGAAAGAAAAAGUCAAAAAGCACAAAGAGCGGGAGGACUGAGAUCUUGUCCUAAAGUGGAGCAAAGGAGUGGAGCAUGAUGGACUGCAGAGAUAGGCUGUAAAACUAAGCUUGACUGCGUAUCCGGGUGUUUUCUUGAGCGCCGCAUUGUUCACUGAAAGUGAAAUGCUGAUUCUAAUUGAGAGAAGCACACAGGAGCAUGUUCAAAUAGCUCAUUUGGAGCCUGUGUCAUCGCUUACGGCCAUACCACCCUGAACACGCCCGAUCUCGUCCGAUCUCGGAAGCUAAGCAGGGUCGGGCCUGGUUAGUACUUGGAUGGGAGACCGCCUGGGAAUACCAGGUGCUGUAAGCUUUUCUUUUCUUUUCUUGCAUCUUUUUGCCGUGUUCUCUCUCCAAGAGGCUAGGAUAUCGGUCUUUGGGGAGCCUGGUCUUUGCUUGGACAAAUGCAAGUGCACUUGGAGAUUAGGCUGAACAUAAAAUGAAAGAAAAAGUCAAAAAGCACAAAGAGCGGGAGGACUGAGAUCUUGUCCUAAAGUGGAGCAAAGGAGUGGAGCAUGAUGGACUGCAGAGAUAGGCUGUAAAACUAAGCUUGACUGCGUAUCCGGGUGUUUUCUUGAGCGCCGCAUUGUUCACUGAAAGUGAAAUGCUGAUUCUAAUUGAGAGAAGCACACAGGAGCAUGUUCAAAUAGCUCAUUUGGAGCCUGUGUCAUCGCUUACGGCCAUACCACCCUGAACACGCCCGAUCUCGUCCGAUCUCGGAAGCUAAGCAGGGUCGGGCCUGGUUAGUACUUGGAUGGGAGACCGCCUGGGAAUACCAGGUGCUGUAAGCUUUUCUCUUCUUUUCUUGCAUCUUUUUGCCGUGUUCUCUCUCCAAGAGGCUAGGAUAUCGGUCUUUGGGGAGCCUGGUCUUUUGCUUGGACAAAUGCAAGUGCACUUGGAGAUUAGGCUGAACAUAAAAUGAAAGAAAAAGUCAAAAAGCACAAAGAGCGGGAGGACUGAGAUCUUGUCCUAAAGUGGAGCAAAGGAGUGGAGCAUGAUGGACUGCAGAGAUAGGCUGUAAAACUAAGCUUGACUGCGUAUCCGGGUGUUUUCUUGAGCGCCGCAUUGUUCACUGAAAGUGAAAUGCUGAUUCUAAUUGAGAGAAGCACACAGGAGCAUGUUCAAAUAGCUCAUUUGGAGCCUGUGUCAUCGCUUACGGCCAUACCACCCUGAACACGCCCGAUCUCGUCCGAUCUCGGAAGCUAAGCAGGGUCGGGCCUGGUUAGUACUUGGAUGGGAGACCGCCUGGGAAUACCAGGUGCUGUAAGCUUUUCUCUUCUUUUCUUGCAUCUUUUUGCCGUGUUCUCUCUCCAAGAGGCUAGGAUAUCGGUCUUUGGGGAGCCUGGUCUUUUGCUUGGACAAAUGCAAGUGCACUUGGAGAUUAGGCUGAACAUAAAAUGAAAGAAAAAGUCAAAAAGCACAAAGAGCGGGAGGACUGAGAUCUUGUCCUAAAGUGGAGCAAAGGAGUGGAGCAUGAUGGACUGCAGAGAUAGGCUGUAAAACUAAGCUUGACUGCGUAUCCGGGUGUUUUCUUGAGCGCCGCAUUGUUCACUGAAAGUGAAAUGCUGAUUCUAAUUGAGAGAACCACACAGGAGCAUGUUCAAAUAGCUCAUUUGGAGCCUGUGUCAUCGCUUACGGCCAUACCACCCUGAACACGCCCGAUCUCGUCCGAUCUCGGAAGCUAAGCAGGGUCGGGCCUGGUUAGUACUUGGAUGGGAGACCGCCUGGGAAUACCAGGUGCUGUAAGCUUUUCUCUUCUUUUCUUGCAUCUUUUUGCCGUGUUCUCUCUCCAAGAGGCUAGGAUAUCGGUCUUUGGGGAGCCUGGUCUUUUGCUUGGACAAAUGCAAGUGCACUUGGAGAUUAGGCUGAACAUAAAAUGAAAGAAAAAGUCAAAAAGCACAAAGAGCGGGAGGACUGAGAUCUUGUCCUAAAGUGGAGCAAAGGAGUGGAGCAUGAUGGACUGCAGAGAUAGGCUGUAAAACUAAGCUUGACUGCGUAUCCGGGUGUUUUCUUGAGCGCCGCAUUGUUCACUGAAAGUGAAAUGCUGAUUCUAAUUGAGAGAAGCACACAGGAGCAUGUUCAAAUAGCUCAUUUGGAGCCUGUGUCAUCGCUUACGGCCAUACCACCCUGAACACGCCCGAUCUCGUCCGAUCUCGGAAGCUAAGCAGGGUCGGGCCUGGUUAGUACUUGGAUGGGAGACCGCCUGGGAAUACCAGGUGCUGUAAGCUUUUCUUUUUUCUUGCAUCUUUUUGCCGUGUUCUCUCUCCAAGAGGCUAGGAUAUCGGUCUUUGGGGAGCCUGGUCUU